GAGCACCCUUAGAAACCCCCCAGCUGCUUCGGUAGCUUCUGGGACAAGAAAGGGUGCGAGAUCAACCUUAGAACCAUCCAAAGCUGAGAGCAGAGUCACUGUAGCUCUCAGCUAUUUCACCUCUAAGACAGCGUU
rnacentral:snoRNA from 1 species